GAUGAACGCUGGCGGCGUGCCUAAUACAUGCAAGUCGAGCGAACGGACGAGAAGCUUGCUUCUCUGAUGUUAGCGGCGGACGGGUGAGUAACACGUGGAUACCCUACCUAUAAGACUGGGAUAACUUCGGGAAACCGGAGCUAAUACCGGAUAAUAUUUUGAACCGCAUGGUUCAAAAGUGAAAGACGGUCUUGCUGUCACUUAUAGAUGGAUCCGCGCUACAUUAGCUAGUUGGUAAGGUAACGGCUUACCAAGGCAACGAUGCAUAGCCGACCCGAGAGGGUGAUCGGCCACACUGGAACUGAGACACGGUCCAGACUCCUACGGGAGGCAGCAGUAGGGAAUCUUCCGCAAUGGGCGAAAGCCUGACGGAGCAACGCCGCGUGAGUGAUGAAGGUCUUCGGAUCGUAAAACUCUGUUAUUAGGGAAGAACAUAUGUGUAAGUAACUGUGCACAUCUUGACGGUACCUAAUCAGAAAGCCACGGCUAACUACGUG
rnacentral:rRNA from 1 species